AAACGGAGUAAAAGAAACCAACAGGGAUUGCCUCAGUAACGGCGAGUGAAGCGGCAAAAGCUCAAAUUUGAAAUCCCCCCGGGGAGUUGUAAUUUGAAGAUUGCGUCUUGGAGGCGACCGUGUCUAUGUUCCUUGGAACAGGACGUCACAGAGGGUGAGAAUCCCGUGCGGCACGGCCCCCGGCUCCUUAUAAGGCGCUCUCGACGAGUCGAGUUGUUUGGGAAUGCAGCUCAAAGUGGGUGGUAAAUUCCAUCUAAAGCUAAAUACAGGCGAGAGACCGAUAGCGAACAAGUACAGUGAUGGAAAGAUGAAAAGCACUUUGAAAAGAGAGUGAAACAGCACGUGAAAUUGUUGAAAGGGAAGGGCAUGCCGUCAGAUUGUCAGUGUGGGUAAGAAGCGGGGUACAAAGACUGUGGAACGUGGCCCUCGGGUGUUAUAGCCGCAGUUCAUGCCCCGUCUCUUCCGAGGCCUGCUUGAGACACCGACUAUGUACGC
rnacentral:rRNA from 1 species